UCGCGGCUUAUCACCGGCAGUCCCCUUAGAGUGCCCAACUAAAUGAUGGCAACUAAGGGCGAGGGUUGCGCUCGUUGCGGGACUUAACCCAACAUCUCACGACACGAGCUGACGACAGCCGUGCAACACCUGUCACGCCGUCCCCUUGCGGGGAAAACCGGCUUUCACCGGCUAGCGACGGAUGUCAAGCCCUGGUAAGGUUCUACGGUUAGUGACGUAUUAAACAACAUGCUCCACCGCUUGUGCGGGCCCCCGUCAAUUCCUUUGAGUUUCAACCUUGCGGCCGUACUCCCCAGGCGGGAUACUUAAUGCGUUAGCUGCGGCACCGGAGGGGUCGAUACCCCCGACACCUAGUAUCCAUCGUUUACGGCUGGGACUA
rnacentral:misc_RNA from 1 species